GACCAUUUUUUUGAACUGAUUUUCACUGAAAAUUGUAUCAAAGUUUUUCCUGUCAUUAUUUUUGUAAAACAUGAUUUUAAAUAAAGUAUGCAGUUUUCUCUCAAAAAAUACAGUUAAGAAUCCACCUUCUUUUUCUUAAUUUGCUAUUUUCCUAAUACAUAUUUAUACCUAUAAAAGAAUUAGCGCAACGUAGAAAACUUUCAGUCUAAUUUCUUUAUCUAGCUCAGUUGUCUAAAGGCUUAUCUGACAAUAUGAAGUAUGUUACUAACCUUUGUGUUGGAUCCACUCUUUGAUUACCUUUUUUCAGUUAUCUCUCCUUUUCUACCAAGAGCUUCUAAUUUCUGGGAUGUUUCUGAGUGGUGAUAUAUUGCACUCUUUCAAACAAGGUGGUUCUGUUGACCUAUUUGGUAAUUUCAGUUACUCCAUUUUGUAACUUUUUGAUCAUCUACUAUAUUACAGUUUUUGAAUUUUCGAUUCCUCAUUCAGGAAGUAAGAAUUCUGAAGUGUGAAUUCUGAUUACUAUUUGACAACACAGAUUUGUGAUACUCCUAAAAUACUUACUUCCGUAUUUUCCUCUUCUUUGUAUUACCCAUUAUGGAAUAUAAGUAGAUUUCCACAUGUGUAACAGAAAUAAUCUAAGCCGAAUAGACUUAGGUCCUAGCUCAAAUUAUUUAUGCUUAACACAGUUUAUCCACUGCUUGCUGCUUUUUUUGACUAUUUACUUUGGCAAAAUUUUGUUCACAUGGUAUUUAUUACGUGAAUUCAAAAUGAAUUGAGAGUUAUAUACUCUGUGGAAUGCUAGCCGUCUGUCACCUGGGAAUGUAACCCUUAUUCUCAGUUUUUCUGCAUGCUUUGUUGCCACCGAUCUUUCUGGGUAAACUUAAAUUAAGGCGUUUUCCUCCCUCAUGACCUCUUGCAACUUUUUAGUAAUGUGAAUAAUUGUGAUGACAGACUUAAUUUGAGUAUGAAAAUAUGAGGGAAAAAAGUCAUUACAUUUAACUCAAAUUAACUGUUAAUUUUGUGAAACUGGAUAGUAAGAGCAAACCGAAUUUUCUAAUGUCAAAUAAAAGCUAAUUUCUUGAGUUGAGUUUUUCAAGGGUUUGAUAUAGUGCAAGGGAUGAAUUCAAAAGUAACAAUUUUAUUUGAUGACAAAUUAGAAGAAUAAAAUAUUCAAUUCAAAGCAUAUAUAUAUACACAUACAUAUAUAUAUGUAUACUUUAAAUAAAGAUUUCCAAUAUUCUCAAAUUUACUAGAUAGAUUCUUAUAGUUAUACCACAGGGUCAUAACUCAUUUUGGAUACACAGAAAGAGAAAAAUAAGUUAAUAUUGAGUUAUUCUUCUAAAGAAAACUUGAAUCUCAAUAGGGAAAAAGGAACAAUUAAAGGGCUAUUUAAAAUCGUUGAAAAAGAAAAAAGUACACCAAAACUCAAAUUUUAUUAAUAACUCCUCUGCUAGUAGCAUAACUACAGACAAUACUAAAAAAUGCCUACAUAAAAAAAAGGAAUAAACAGGUAACAUCCAUUAUAAUAGGAAAAUGAAUUACCACAUAAAAUACGGCUUUUGAGAGUUUUCUACAGAUUUUAUGAAAAAAUAAGUAAAGCAUUCUUAAUAAUAUCAUUUGGGAAUGUAGACUGAUGGACUAUAUUAUAAAACAUUACUAUAAUACUAAACAAACCAAUAAUUCUUCAUAUUAUACAUUAUUGGUUUCAAGUCACCAUAAUAUAUAAACUAACUUUCUGAUUAAAGCUACUUAAACUUUCUAAAAACAAAUUAUUUUUUUCACCUAAAGCAAAUAUUCAUUUAAUAACUUAUAGUUGAUUUAUUUAUUCUAUGUAUCCUGCCUAAUUUGUAUUCAAUUUCCUUAAUAUUCAAAUGUGGUCACAGUAAAAUAUACUUUAGCAAAAGAAAAUGGACAAAGAAAAACAAGAACAUAGCAGUUUUUCCACCCCAAGUUACUAUCCUUUUCUGAAUAUCCUAGUUUGCAUGCUAUAUAGACUAUACAAUAUUUAAAACAAAAUUUCAAAUGCAUUGCUUACUUGAUGACUUCAUUUUUGAAACCGAGUAUUUCAGUAAACUUUGUCCUGCUUCAAGAGAACAGAGCUCCAUUUAAAAAGGCAGUGAAUGGUUUCAGCAUGAUCUUUUCCUUUAUGUUUUAUUUAAAAUGUUAAUGGAGUAAAUCCACAAUUCGCAUAAUUUAUUUCGAAACACUUUUGUUCAGAAUAAUGCAUUGUGAGAACAGUGAUAUACAGGCAAGUUUCCUUCAAGAACAUGCAUCAGUUCAGCUCCCUUUUGAAGCAUAUUGCAAAUGCCCUCUAACAGGGCACAGCAACAUAACAUAAAUCAUCUUAUAUGAAAAAUUAACAUGACAUCAAAUAUUUAUAAAUAUUAAUGUGUAUGUUAAUAUAACCAAAGCUGUAACAAACAAUCAUAACCUUGCCAAGUUUCCUAGGACAGGCGCCGCUGAUAAUGAUAUCCAUUAUGUCGGGAGGAACGCACAAUUAUGAAAGUUAUAUACAGGAUGCUAUGUUCUUAGUUGCUUUUAGAUUUACCCAUUAAACGUCUACCUUAUAUACCAUAUUAACCCUUUAUGCACACAUUCUUAGGAAACAGAAAGGCAGUUCAGGUGAAUAGGUAGUUUUUAAAUCAUUGUUAUUUAAUCAUUUACAUGAAAAGUCUCUGAUUAUUCAUACAACUUUAUGCAUCAUUGGAGUAUAUCGUAUCCUACGAAUAAAUUCACUUGGAUUGAUCACAUUAAUAUGUGUUCAACACUACACACGCGUUUAAAGGUAUGCAUGCUACACCGUGGUCAAGAAAGCCACCCUUGGCAAAGAUGGGUUGGGGAUUUGGGGCUCUGAAAUGUAAUAUGCUGUGUGAUCUCUACUCUGUCCAGGAAAUCUCUCUUUCAAAGUGUCCAUGCUGAGAAUGGGGUGGGAGUGGGUAGUUCUUGGGUUUGCUGGCACUCAGGGGAGCCAAGUCCAUAGGUAGAGUUUUUGAUCAGACCCUACGGGGCCCACAGGUCAUAGAUGGUCAGCCAGGCAAAGUUUUGUUUCGAGUUUCAGCACUGUUGGCAGGUACGGUUAAUUUAGUCAAUGGACGUUAAAACAAUGUGACUUCAGACAAGAGGAAGAAAAGGGCCACCAUUUUAUCUAUGUGCGUAACGUGCUGGCUCAGGUAAAUGAGGUUUGGAAUCUAAUGGGUUUUCAUGGGCAAAGCAAGAAGGUAACUUUGUAUGAGGACAGACAUACUUUUGGAUUGAAGAUGUUUGUUUCCCUGAAAAAUACCUCAGUAAGAAGCCUCCUGAAUCCCCUUCCUGCCCCCAAACCUGCUCCCAACUUAGUACACUCUUCAUCUUAAAGCACCAACUUCUAUUUCCAGUAUGACUCCUGAGUGUUACAACAGACUCUGCUUUUGCGGUGUUGGAUGCUGGAAAGAAUCUGCUCUAUGUUGCUUAUGGUGGGGAUGGGUUUACCCAUGGGUAUGGUGGAGAAUUGUGAACGGUAUUUCCAUUUUAAAGUUUUUUGUCCUUCUCCUGGAUGUAGGGUUGAGUUUGGGCAUUUUGAUUCUGGAUAAUUCAACUUAUUUUACGCUCUGAAAAACUAAAUAUGGAACGAGUAAUGUCUCAAGUGGCCAAAAUAUGUCACCCAAAAAUAUCUUCCAAUUAGAGAUUCAUUUUAUUGCAAAUCUUUAAAAAAUAUAAUUGACUUUAGAUGAGAUGUUAAGCCUAACACACGCUUUAAUGCUAAUUAUUUUAGUUAGAUAAGAGAUCAGUACUUAAGUGAUAUGAUUCUUAACUGAGUCAGAAUUUUGAAGGGAAUGCAAAGAAAAAGGGUGAAUUUGCAGACUAGACACUACUUUGUUACUUGUUAAUUUAAAUAUGUAUUCUGGACAUAGUCUUUCAGCUCCCCCAAAAUAUGUUACCGUAUUUUGCGAUCGGCAAUUUAACCUCUCAUCCAUAUUAUUGUAUUAUCUAUUUUUAGCCAUUAUCUAAAACAUGUAGUUAUUUCUUCCAUCUUAAAAAAACAGCCUUAUCUUGAUUUCCCUGCCAGCUGCGACCUCUUUUAAAUUUAAUUAAUUAAUUUAGUUUUGCUCCCUCUGUAGGAAAAGUCCUUAAAGGUUGCCCAUGCUAGAUGUCUCCAAAUGCUCUACGUCUGCCCAUCUUCCUUAAAUCCAAUCAAACUUUCAUCCCUGCCAUUCCACAGAAACCACUCCAGUCAAGGUGGCCAAAGAUCUCCACGUUACUAAAUCCCAAGGUCAAUUCUCAGUCUUCAUUUGACUUGAAUCCAUCAGCAGCGUUUAUACAGUUUAUCGCUUCACUCUUCUUGGUACACUUUCCUUCACGUGAAUUUCAGGACACCAGAGUCUCCUGAUUUUUGUAUUUCACUAGCUAUUCCUUUCAGGCUCCUUCACUGACUCAUAUUCCCAAUCUUUUAAUUUGGGAAUAUCCCAGGGCUCAGUCCUUGUUCCUUUUUCUUUAUCUUUCUAGACUCAUUCCCUUGGUGAACUCUUCACUCUCAAAGCUUUAGUACCAUUUAUAUGCUGACAUCUCCCAUUUUGAUAUUUCCUGUUCAGAUCUCUCUCUCUCCUUAAAUUCAGAUUCAUAUAUGCAGUUAUCUAUGUAACAUUUCUAUUUGGUUGCCUAAAUAGGUAAUUUCAAAUAAAUAUGUGCAAAACACAACUCUUGAACUCUAAAAUCCACUCCUUCUGCAGUCUUUCCCAUCGCAGUCAAUGGCUGCUCCAACGCUUUCAGUUAGUCUAGCCAAAAUCCUUGGUGGUCAUAUUGGACUCUUCUCUUUUUCUCACUCCUCUCCUCUAACCUAUCAGGAAAUACUUUUUAGCUCUACUUUAAAAAUACAUUCAGAAUUGGAACUAUUCUCCACUUCCAUCAUUAUUAUACUCAGCUACAAUCAUCUUUUGCCAAAUUUUUGCAAUAGCCUCCUAACUCUUCUCCCUGUAUCUACACUUGCCCCUUUACUGUCUAUUCUCAACCCAGCAACCAGAGAGAACCUUCUAAAAUAUAAGUCAGACAGUGUCAUGCCUUUGCUCAAAAUCCUGCCAUGCUUCUACCUGUCACUCAGCUCAAAAGCCAUAAUCCAUAUAAUGACUUCUGAGGGCCUGUUACCACUUUGACCUUAACUUCUAGAACUCUCCUUCUUUUUCAUUUCACUCUAGGCACACUAAUUUCCUUGCUGGUCCUUAACCACACCAGGCAUGCUUGGCACUAGGCAUUUCACUUGCUCAGAACCCUUAUGACUGACUCCCUCACUUCUUUGUAUCACUUCCUUGAAGUCUUUAUUCAAAGUUCUUUUUCUCAAUGAGGUUUAAUUAGACUGCCCUAUUUAAAGUUGCAAAUGACUCUUCCCCCAACCACUGGCACUCUUGAUUUCACAGACCCUGCUCUUGUGUACAUAUACUUUUCACAGCUAUCACUACUUUAUAACAUUCUAGAUAAUUUGCCUAUUUGUUAUAUGUAUGUAUAUACACACAUUUUUUUAUUUAUUUCUUUUUUUAGGUCACCCCCACAAGAAUGUAAGGUUUAUGAGGAUAGAGAUCUUUGUUAUGUUUGCUAAUGUAUCCCAAACAUCCAGAAUGGAGGCUGGCACAAAACAGAAAAUCCUACUACUGUUUGCCAGUGUCUGAGUUAAGAUUGAAGAACUUGUCUGAUAGACUCACAGCCUUAACUCCUUACAUCGAAUCCCAGUCUCCUCAGGGAAUGUUGGAGAGAAAUCCCUUUUUGCUUCUAUCAGACGGAGGACAAAAAGAACCAUUUGGAAAUAUACUAGAGAAUUCUGUUCUUUUUAAUAAAGCCUGCCCUCAGGAGAAACCGUUUUACUAGAGUCUAACCUGUUGGGGUUGUAUCAGAGCCUAACUGACCUGGCGGAAGGGAAACACACAGCUCUAUUCCCCUCCAGCCUUCCAUGUGGGGGAAGGGAAAUACACAAGCCCAGCCCCCUCUUGCCAUCCUGUCCCAUCUAAGGUGGGGAGUCGGGGGUGUGGUGGUGGGACUGAGAAGCAUUGGUGGAGUUGACAGUCCAGGGUCACAGAUGCAGCAAAACACUGAGAUCUAAUAAUAAGAUUAUAAAAUGCUUCCCCUUCCCCCAACACCUUACGGUUAUAUUACUAAAGGCCUAUAUUCCCAGUACAUUAUGUCUGCCUUUCAACCAAAAGUUGCAAAGCAUGUGAAAAGGCAAAGAUGAAGAUAUUGGCAAGCAUCAGAACCAGAGUCAGAAUGGCAGGAACGUUGGAAUUAUCAGACCAGGGAUUUAAAAGAACACCUCUGAUUAAUACACUAAGAGCUUUAAUGGAAAAAAUAGACAACAUGCAGGAACAGAUUGAUAGUGUAACAGAGAGAUGGAAAUUCUAAGAAUCAAAAGGAAAUGGUACAGGUUAAAAAUGCUAGAACAGAAAUGAAGAAUGUCGCUGAUGGGCUCAUGAGUAGAUGGGACAUGAGUGAGGAAAGAAUCUCUGAGCUCGAGGAUAUGACAAUAGGAACUUCUAAAACUGAAAAUCAAAGGGAAAAGAGACUGAAAAAAAGAGAACAAAAUAUCCAAGGACUGUGGAAUGUCUACAAAAAGUGUAAUGUAUGUGUAAUUUGGAAUACCAGAAGGAAAAGAAAGACAGAAAGGAACAGAAGCAGUAUUUGAAGCAAUAGUGACUGAGAAUUUCCUGAAAUUAAUAUCAGACACCAAAUCUCAGAUCCAGGAAACACGGAAAACAUAACUUUCCAGAGAACCAUACCUGGGCAUAUCAUAUUCAAACUUCAGAAAAUCAAAGAUAAAGAAAAAAUAUUGAAAGAAGCCAGAGGAAAAAACACCUUACUUCUAGUGGAGCAAAAACAAGAAUCACAUCCAACUUUUCCUCAGAAACCAUGCAACCAAAGUUAACGUAUUGAGAGAAAAAACCACCAACCUAGAAUUUUGUACCCUGUGAAAUUGUCCUUCAAAAUUGGAAGAGAAAUAAAAACU